rnacentral:tRNA from 1 species
UAGGCUUAUAGCUCAAUAGGUUAGAGCAGAGGACUCAUAAUCCUUUGGUUGUAGGUUCAAAUCCUACUAGGCCUAU